CGAUGCUAAAAAGCUCUUUAAUCCCCGGAAGGGGGGGGGUGGGAUGGAGGAAGGGCGCGAGGAAGAGGAGGGCGGCACCCGAAACCGCCCCCACAGGCCAGGGUGACGGGGGGGGGGUGUCCCCGUGUCCAUCUGGGGGACGCUUGGGUGGCCCUGGUGGGCUCAGGGUCCCCACGUCCAUCCGGGGGUCACCAGGGUCCCCAUGUCCCCACAUCCAUCUGGGGGUCCCCGGGGUGCCCUUGUUGGGCUCAUGGUCUCCGUGUCCAUCUUGGUGUCCCCAGGGUCCCCACGUCCAUCUGGGGUCCCCAGGGUGCCCUCGUGGGGCUCUUGCUCCCCACGUCCAUCUGAGGAUCCCUUGGGUAUCCUUGUCUGGCUUGAGGUCCCCACGUCCAUCUGGGGGUCCAUUGGGUGCCCUCAUGGGACUCAACGUCCCCACGUCCAUCUGAGGGUUCCUUGGGUGCCCUCAUCAGGCUCAGUGUCCCCACAUCCACCUGGGGGUCCCUCGGGUGCCGUGGAUGGGCUCAACGUCCCCAUGUCCAUCUGCAGGUCCCUUGGGUGCCCUCAUCGGGCUCAACGUCCCCACACCCAUCUGGGGACCUUUGGGUGCCAUGGAUGGGCUCAAUGUCCCCAUGUCCACCUGGGGGUCCCUUGGGUGCCGUGGAUGGGCUCGACGUCCCCAUGUCCACCUGGGGGUCCCUUGGGUGCUGUGGAUGGGCUCAAUGUCCCCGUGUCCACCUGGGGGUCCCUUGGGUGCCGUGGAUGGGCUCGACAUCCCCGUGUCCACCUGGGGGUCCCUUGGGUGCCGUGGAUGGGCUCGACGUCCCCGUGUCCACCUGGGGGUCCCUUGGGUGCCAUGGAUGGGCUCAAUGUCCCCGUGUCCACCUGGGGGUCCCUUGGGUGCCGUGGAUGGGCUCGACAUCCCCGUGUCCACCUGGGGGUCCCUUGGGCACUCCCGUGGGGCUCAGGCUCCCCACGUCCAUCCCAAGGCGCCCUCGUCCAGCUCAGCACCCCAGGGCGCCCCCAACCCCAACAUCCACCACCCCGGGUGCCCGCAGCUGG
rnacentral:lncRNA from 1 species